rnacentral:rRNA from 1 species
CCCUUAGAUGUUCUGGGCUGCACGCGCGCUACACUGAAGCGUUCAACGAGUAUUCACCUUGCCCGGGAGGGUUGGGUAAUCUUUUGAAAACGCUUCGUGAUGGGGAUAGAUUAUUGCAAUUAUUAAUCUUCAACGAGGAAUUCCUAGUAAGCGCGAGUCAGCAGCUUGUGCUGAUUACGUCCCUGCCCUUUGUACACACCGCCCGUCGCUCCUACCGAGGGGGUGAUCCGGUGAAUGAUUCGGACUCUGGUGCUUCUAGCUGCUAGAUGCGCCGGAGGAAGUUUUGUGAACCUUACCACUUGGAGGAAGGAGAAGUCGUAACA